ensembl:snRNA U4 U4 spliceosomal RNA
AGCUUUGCGCAAUGUCAGUAUCAUAGCCAAUGAGGUAUAUCUAAGGCACAAUUAUUGCUAAUUGAAAACUCUUCCCAAUACCCCGCCACGACAACUUGCAAUAUAGUUGGCACUGGCAAUUUUUUUUUUGAGACAGAGCCUC